CCCCGCGCCGCGUCCGUUGCCAUGGCGACCGCAGGGGUGAGGGGGGAGCAGGAGCACCCCCACACUGCCGGCACCCGCUGGGAUGGGCCUGUGGAUUUGGUCCUGCCUCCCGUGCUACCCGUCUGCUGCGCCAGGGCACGCUGAGGUUGGACGUUUCUCCACAGAAAGGGUGAUCGAACACUGGAACGGGCUGCACAGGGAGGUGGUGGAGUCGCCGUCCCUGGAGGUGUUCAAGGAAAGAUUGGACGCGGCACUGAGCGCCCUGGUCUAGUUGACACGGUGCUGUUGGGUCACAGGUUGGCCUCGAUGAUCCCAGAGGUCUUUUCCAACCUCAUUUUUUCUGUGAUUCUGUCUGGCGUCGUCUGGUGAUUCUCUGCAAAAAACUUGUUGCUUGAAGUACCCUCAGCCUCCAAGGAAUUGUACUGUGUCCACCAGCUUCUGUAAAGCACCUUUCCAUGGUUGAUAUGUGCACCCCAAAAGCCAUUUUAUUACUUGCCCCAACCUGGAUCACCGAGACAGGAUGUGGAAGAUGCAGUUCACAGCAGAAACAGUUCUAAGUCCCUGCUCAGGACAUCCCCUGUCACAGCUGGCAGGAGCUGAAGGGACACAUAGCAGCAAUCUGGUUACAGCGAGAUGGGAGUAAUGGCUUUUCUCUGCAAAAAGAUACAGAACAUGCACUGUGUAAACUGGAUGACAUCAACUUACGAUGUCACAAGGUGAGUUUCUGCCCCCAGGGGAAACGUGUGCCAGCACAGCCAUGGAGGAGCCACUUUCCUUCUCCUGUUGGGCUCUCAAGAGCCACAAGAGCAGACUCAGAACUGGUGAUUUUUCAGCCUUUUCCAGCACUUCUGAAGACAAUUCCAUACAAUCUCUUUUAAUGCAUGGAGUUACAACUGGAAUAAAUAAUUAUGGAUUAUUAAAUCCAUAUGUAUGUGGACAGGGCACCACCCAGGAAAACACAUUUGUUUUUCAACCUUUUACUGUGCCCCUUAUGGCCUGAAAGUGAGUGGUGUGGACUAUCUGGUUCUAGUUUGCUGCAGUAUUUUUCUUUCAGCAGGUCUCUGGUUUCUCUCAGUGAGCCUUGGCUUAUCUUGCUUCUAAGUGAUGGAGAUUCCAUGAGGAAGCCUCAGAAUCCUCUGCCAGGAUGAGACAGUGACAAUGUUAUGUUACACAGCACCUCCUCCUGUGAUGGUCUCCUGGCCUCUCCAGUCAGAGUCAGGGGGGCUCAUUUUGUUCUUGGAGCUGUGCUACUUCUUUGCAAGCACCUUUUAUUUUAGAACACAUAUUUUUGUGUUUUUCUCAAAUUAUGUACAAUUCCAGUUAUUUAAUUUAUGAGGAUAGAAAUACAGACUGGGAAACAGAAGGUAACCCAGAUAGACAUGGAGAACAGAGAUAAAAUGGAAAUAAUUCAGUACAGGCAAAAUAUUUGAUUAGUCUUCUCAAAGUCCUUUUCUUCAAUAAUGAAACCCUGAGUUCCAUAUGUCCCAGAGAUACUCAGCAAUGUCACAGACUCCUCCUCCACACCAGACUCUGUUACUUCUGACAGGUCAGAGCCAGAGUUGAGCUACAGGUGAGAAAUACAAAAAUAGAGCCUUCCAACCUCUCGUUUCCCCAACAAAGUUGUUGAGGAAAAAUGGUGUUUUUAAUCAUUACCUGUGAAUGUUCUCUUUAAAGCCUUUAAGCCAUUCGGUAUCUUCAAGAAUAACAUGAAAUUAAUUUUGCUAAACAAAAGCACUAAGGUCAUCUGCCUUCCAGCUUCACAGACAUUGAGUAUUUCAGUAGCAUUACUAAACUUUUACACCUUCUCUCUUCUGUAAGUUGUCUUGCAAGUGCUCUUCUUUUGACCAAAACACAGGUCAGGGUAUUUCAGUUGUGACUGCACAAAACUUCAUUUUCCCAGAUAAAAUAGUGAAAGGGUGUUUGGGCUCUGGGCUGUCACUAAGAGCCCUGCAGAAAAGUGUCUCGUUCCUCCAGCUUUGGUAAAGGGAUGUUACCUGAGGGAAAACAAAAAGGAAGUUUUAUGAGACCAGCAGUGGGUUACCUUCUGGGUUAUACAACUUGGCACUAACGUGCUUCUCUGGUUUAUUCUAAGUAUGUUCAGGCAGCUUAAAUUCCCUGAGCAAGUCAGGAAAGUAAAUCCUGACUGACUUCCUGUAGAGAAUUGCUCGACAUGUUCAGUAACUUCAGUCAGAUCAGCCUCGGUACUGCUUUAGGACCAACAAAUUGCACAGUUUUACACAGAUGGCUACAUUUAUUUUAGUACUUCCCUAUUAUUAGCUAGGAUUCCUGAAAGUAAGUGCAGCUAUGGCAGGUUAUAUUCCUCAGGUUAAUUCAAGAAAGACUAAGAGCUUUUUGCAAACAAGUCAAUACCUGGUGGGGCUACAAAAUACUCCUCUACUUUCUCUCUGGCAUUUUGCAGCAGCUCUUUGGUGCAGUUGCCUUCUGUCACAUCGUCUUCUCUGAGGUACAGACACCUGAAGAACACAGAUUACUAGUUGUGUUUAGGCUAUUUUAUGAAGUAGGAAGGGUAGCUUAUCACUAAACCUGGUUUUGGUCCUGAGUAAGCACUGAGACAAGUACUGGAACACUUUGAAGCACCCAAGAAUGCCACUGACAGAUGUCUGAGGAGCAGCGUGUGCAGACCAAUCAUGACAAGACAGACUGAGGAAUUGAAGUUCACCUUUGCUGUGGUCACACAUAAGGAUCACGUGGGCCAGUGGCAUCUUUCUCCCACACACAACCCUGAUAAGACAUUUCUGUAACCAAAGGGGCCAUUUCUGUAAGCAAAGGGUGAUUCCCAGGGAUAAAAGGUCAGAAAAGUGAACAGUUUGACAGAUUAAUAGAUAAAAGGAGGCUGCUGUGGUCCAUCACCUGUCCUCCAGGACUGAAUCCAUGGGUUCCACGCCGUCAGUGUUCACUUCAUGAAGCUGGUCAGCAAACUCGAUCGCCUUCUGCAGCCGCUCCACGCCCUCCGAGUCACGGAAAUCCACCAGGGCCAGGUGCUCCAGGUGGUCCAGCACUUCCACCGACACUUUUUGCUGUCAAACCCGGACAAAAAAAAAGGGAAAACUGAGCAAGUUUAA